UACGUAGGGUGCGAGCGUUAAUCGGAAUUACUGGGCGUAAAGCGUGCGUAGGCGGUUCGUUAAGUUCGUUGUGAAAGCCCCGGGCUCAACCUGGGAAUGGCAAUGGAAACUGGCGGGCUUGAGUAUGGCAGAGGGGGGUGGAAUUCCGCGUGUAGCAGUGAAAUGCGUAGAGAUGCGGAGGAACACCGAUGGCGAAGGCAGCUCCCUGGGCCAAUACUGACGCUCAGGCACGAAAGCGUGGGGAGCAAACAGG
rnacentral:rRNA from 1 species